CUGUAGAGUAAUCCACACGCACACACACAACAUCCUUGUUCACCCUGGUCGUCGGAAAAGACCUGCCAGUCUGUUAUAUGUUGGAUUAUCACCCAUAUGUUUAUUGAUCAACAAAUGAGAUGAUGUAUAGGAACAUUCCUGACUGACUGCCAGUUCCUCUGUUUCUUAUUCUACCACUGAUAUUGUGAACCAUGGCAGUCCGGAUUUCUGUGAGAUGCCGGGUGAUGGAUUUCGUUACACACAGUGUUUUCUUCCUUCUGUACAUGACUGUUUUGGGACAGGCCCAAAAAUCCAACCAUUUUAAAGAAAAAGAUUUGAUGAUACACACAUUCCUGAAUUCUAACAUCAGGAACUACAACUAUAGCUAAAAAAGUAGCCUAAUCGAAGUGUAAUUUUUUGUAACAUAUUGUAGAAUUGAUGCCUAUGAAUAUUAAUGACUGUAUGUGAUUGUCAAGAACAUAUUUGUUAUGUUUAUCAUUGGUUUUUAUAUAUGUGAUAUAAUAAUAAAUUCAUGUAUUAUC
rnacentral:misc_RNA from 1 species